GCCCUCGUAGCUCAAUCGGAUAGAGCAGCGCACUCCUAACGCGCAGGUUGUCCGUUCAAUUCGGACCGAGGGCA
rnacentral:tRNA from 1 species